rnacentral:rRNA from 1 species
GAAUUCGAUUCAGGCCUAACACAUGCAAGUCGUACGGUAGAGGAGCAAUCCUCGAGAGUGGCGAACGGGUGAGUAAUACAUCGGAACGUGCCCAGUCGUGGGGGAUAACGUAGCGAAAGCUACGCUAAUACCGCAUACGACCCGAGGGUGAAAGCGGGGGACCGUAAGGCCUCGCGCGAUUGGAGCGGCCGAUGGCAGAUUAGGUAGUUGGUGGGGUAAAGGCCCACCAAGCCUGCGAUCUGUAGCUGGUCUGAGAGGACGACCAGCCACACUGGGACUGAGACACGGCCCAGACUCCUACGGGAGGCAGCAGUGGGGAAUUUUGGACAAUGGGCGAAAGCCUGAUCCAUCCAAGGGGCGUGCGGGAAGAAGGCCUUCGGG